GGAAGUUGAUCUUAGCAAAUAGAUAAGAUCAUUAAGGGUCUUGUCAUAGUCUGUUUCAUAGGUGUCCCAAAGGAACUCACUAUGUGACUUAGAAAGUGAUUGAACCACCAACUUUCUCAAGACUUUGACACCUAACUCUCCCGGCUUGUCAAUAUGUGACUACAUCUCCAAGAUGUGAUCACACCUAGACCUUGCCUUGCCAAUAGGGCUUGAGUGACCUUAAACUUUUUAGGAACUUGUGGGUUAGGGAGAAUAACUGGAGGAGGUGAAAGAAGUAUGAUAUCCAUGGGACAUCAUCUUCAUUUAGGAAAGCUUGUUUCAGAGAUUUGGGAAGAUCAUAGGUGUCUAAACCAGACAUCUUUUGGGAGAUAUUCAAGAUAGUUGAUUUAAAGUCCUUAAUAUGACACCCAAUAUGAAAUAUUAAGGCUAGGACCCAACAAACUAUUUUAUAACUUAGAAGAGGUAUGCCGUAAUCCAAGCUAUAAAAUAUUUGAAGGUAGGUGAAUGACGAUUCACCAAUUUCCACCAAGAUAAACGAAAUGUAUUAUUAGGUUUUAAUUGGUUUUGAAACUCCUAGAUCUUUGAGAUUCAUUGAACUGUUCAAAGGCAUGUUUCAAUCUCGAGUGUGCCCUUCAGGUUUUGUGACUGGGAUGCCGAGGAUCACAAAACAAGGUGUGAAGUAACCAUGCAAAUCACUUGGUACCCUUAAUAAAUUACCCCUCAAUCGAUGUGCCGGUUAACCACACACGCUCCAUCGAUACUAUGAUAAAUAUUAAGUCACCCUUUACCUACCUUGUUAAGUCCAAGUUAGUGUGCCGGUUAACCACACACGCUCCACUAACGACUUAGACAAAGUGUAAAGUGUAAUUUCAUGGAUUAGCACCUUAUUCACAUUUUUCCUAAGUAACUAAGAUUGGGUAUUAUUAAGAGUUUAGUUACUUAGUAUUAUCAUUAAUACUUUUAAUGAAGGGAGAAUUCUAGUCCUGUCAAACCCGUUCGGCUAACGACCCUCCACCAGUCAAGCAAGCGGUGGGUGAGAGUGGACACCCAUUAAGUUGCCAUUUUAUAGGCAACAACCUUAUACCCACCUUAUAGACCGGCUUCGUGAAUGAGGCGUACUAGCGGUAAGACUGACUUUACUCUUAUACAUAUAUAUAUUAUUAACUUAUAAUAUUAUAAAGUAUAAGGGUUGAAUUUUAACUUUUAAAAUUCUAAGGGCUAACUUGGAAUUAAAGUAUUCAUAAGUGAAAACUUUUCAAAUUCCAAAACUUGAGGGCAAGUUUUGAAACUAUUCAAAACUAAUUAAUUCCAUAACUUAUGUGUUUAAAGUAGUUUUAAUCCAAAAACUCUUCAAGUUCCAUAACUUGAGGACAAGUUAUGGAAGACUUUAAACUAAUAAAAGAAUUAACUUUUCUUUAUUUUAUAACUUAUGGAAUUAAUUAAGGUUACAUUUUUUUUUUUUAUUUAUUAUUUAAUGAAGAGACUCUUGGUCCUCCAUAACUUGAGGACAAGUUAUGGAGUCAUAAAACCAUUUAAUUAGAACUAGACUCUUCAUUUUUGUAACCUUUGCCAACUUUUAUGAGUUUUAUGAAACUUAAAUGUGACUUUUCAUAUAACUUGAGGACAAGUUAACAAAAACACAUUUUAGAAUCAACUCUUAGAUUAAUUUGGAUUGAAAACAACUAUUUCACUCAACUUUUCUAUUAAUCUAAGCAACUCAUAAGAACAAGAUAAUUCAAAUCAAACUUUUUCAUGUAAUUAGAGUAACACUUUAAACUAAUACAAAACAUGAAUCUAUUGACAAUUAUCUUUAAAAUUGGAUUAGCAUGAACAUUACCACAUCAAAAACAAGUUUAUAAGUCCAAAAACAUCUUAGGGUAAUGUUCCUAGUCCAAUUCUAGCCAAAAACGUCGAAUAUAUGCUGUCUGGGGGUCCAACUCGUCGAGUGCACGAACCAACUCAGCGAGUUGGAUGCAUUUUGCCUUGGACUCGGCGAGUCUGCUGUACAGACAACAUCAAAACUCGAUUUUUUCAGCUACUUUUGUAGGUAUAACAAGAAAACAAGCCUAGGCUCUGAUACCACUGAUGGGUUUUGAGCAUUCUAACACUCCUAAGUGUACAUGCAACCCUAAAUACCUUGGAUCUAUGUUUUCUCUAUUAUACAUGCAAUUAUGAACAUCCAAGGUUUUAUCCUAAUCUAGCAUACAAAAUCAUGAAUAUAACAAGAUAGAAUACAUACCUCUUCGAUGUAGAAACUCUUCAUGAAGCUUGAGUGCUUAGUGCCUCAAGUGUGACACCUCAAAUGGUUCACACAACACCAAAUACACUUGGAAUAACUUGAGAGAAACUUGAACACUCCUAAAAUCGGCUAGCCCUUUCUUAUUCUUCAUAGUGGCCCAUUUUUCCCAAAGAAUAUGAUCUUAUAUAGUUGUUACAAUUAGAGUAAACCCUAAUUGUCAUGGCCUUCCAUUUCCUUGGAUCCAUGGGUUCAAAUACACCAUGGGGCAUCCAUGGACCAUCCUAUGGGUUUUAGCCCAACUUGAUUAUCCAUGGAGCAUUAGCCCACUAUACAAGAAUGGAUGAUUUACACAAUCAACCCAUAUAUUUAAUUAGUCUUAUUUUGAUCAGUUAAUUAAUCCUAGAUUAAUUCUUGAUCAAUACUAAUUAAAUAGUCCUAUUAAUAUAUUAGAACUUAUAAUAUAUUAAUACUCCUUAAGUGUUAUUUCUCUCAUUAUAGUCUAUCCAAAUGCAUGAUGCCAUGCAACCCAAAUGGACCAUGUCGGGUCGGGUCAAGUCUCACCAAUUAUAGUUAUGGACUUAGACAUUAAUCCAACAUGUACACCAUAGGAGUGUUAGAAUGCUCAAAAACCACCACCUUCACCACUUGACUCUUGAAUUUCUUCAUCGUUAAUUUGCUUCCCACUGUUUCCUUGGCUUAUGAACUCUCUCUCCCUCUCUCUCUCUCUCUCUCUCUCUCUCUCUCUCGAAAUACUCCUCUUCUUGCUACAAAGACCACAUUAUCACUGGGUUUGUAGAAGAGGUAACCAAAGGAUUUAUGUGGGUAGCCGAUGAAAAUACACCUCUCACUUCGAGGUUCGAGCUUAUCGUGAUUCUCGCGUCUCACAAAAGCCUCGCAACCCCAAAUCUUGAUGUGGUCCAAUUUGGGAACGUUUCCAGUCCACAUCUCGUGAGGUGUUUUGGCAACCUUCUUUGUAGAGACUAGAUUAAGGAUAUGGGCGGCAGUCUCUAAGGCAUACCCCCAAAAUGAGAUUGAUAGUGAAGCUCGACUCAUCAUGGAACGAACCAUAUCCAACAAGGUUUUAUUACGCCUCUCAGCCACACCAUUAAGCUGUGGUGUCAUGGGAGAUGUCAAUUGUGAGACAAUCCCGCAUUCCUUAAGAUAGUCAAGGAACUCUGUACUAAGAUACUCACCACCUCGAUCGAAUUGAAGCAUCUUAAUGUUCCUGCUCGACUGAUUCUCCACUUCCUGUUUAAACUCCUUGAAAUUUUCAAAGGUUUCUGACUUAUGCUUGAUUAAGUAGACAUAUCCAUAUAUACUAUAAUCAUCAAUAAAAGUCACAUAAAAGUGGCUAGCAUCCCUUGUGGCAGUUCUGAAGGGUCCACACACAUUAGUAUGUAUGAGAUCCAACAAACCCUCACCCCUAGCACAAGUACCAGUGAAGGGUGACUUUGUCAUUUUCCCAAGUCAACAAGAUUCACAACUAUUAUCCGAGUUUAAUUCAAAUAACUCCAAGACUCCAUCCUUUUGGAGUUGGCCUAUGCGUUUCUUGCUCACAUGUCCAAGACGACAAUGCCAAAAUGAUGCUUUAUCCAAGCUAGCAGAAUAAUCAGUACACACCACAUUAUUUCCUAUGUUAUCAACAACCGACAUAGUUUCAUAUACACCAUCACAAGGAAUGCUUUAAAAUAAAGAACGUUAUUAAAGAAAGCAUUAAUACCACCACAUUCAUCAUCAAACGAAAAGCUAAAUCCUUGUUUGUACAAACCAUGAAAGGAAAUAAUAUUUCUCGCCAUUUCAGACGAGUAACAACAUUUAUUCAAAUCUAAUGUUAACCCACUACUUAGCAACAAAGAAUAAAUUCCAAUCUUCGUGACAGGUGAAGCUUUCCUAUUCCCCUUGAUUAAGUUUAUCUUCCCAUGCUCCACAUUCUCACUUCUUCUGAGUCCCUGCAAACCAGAACAUAUGUGAAUACCACAACCAGUAUCAAGGACCCAAGAAUUAGAAUGGGGUGAGUUAUUAGACAAUAUAGUGUAAAUACCUUCAUGGUUAGGUUUUACUUUCCCAACCUUAACAUCUUCCAGGUACUUUGGGCAGUUACGCUUCCAGUGUGCCUUUUCAUGGCAAUAGAAGCAUUUAGCCUCUUUAGGGUUGGCAGAAGGAGUGAUAGAACCUCUUUUGGUUCUACAUGAAGAGUAGCUAUCAAGGGACUUUCCCUUGGUACUCUUCGAAGGGCUCUUCCUAUUCUUCCCUUUACCCUGCCCGAUUGCCAAGACAGGGGCCAUGGUAGGAGUAGGAGUGGUAAAAACCGAUUUACUUUUAAAACCACUUUCAGCAUUCUUUAAAAUCCCUUGAACUUUUCUGAGUGUAACUUCCUCCUUGUUCAUGUGAUAUGUCAUUCCAAAUUGAUCAUAACAAGAAGGUAAGGAGUGCAAAAUGAUGUCAACUGCCAACUCCUCGGGAAAGUUCACAUUCAAUUUCAGCAAAUGGUCCACAAAUCUUUGCAUUUUCUACAUGUGGCCCGUGAUGGGUUCACCAUCCUUCAUUUGGGUUGUUAUCAUGGAGGAGAUGAUUUCAUACCUCUCAUGAUGAGCACUUUGAUGGUAGCGGUCCAUCAAGUCCUGGUGCAUCUCAAAGGGGUAAUAGUCCUCAUAGGACUUUUGGAGCUCGAUUGUCACCGUGGCCAACAUGAUACAAACCACUUUGGUAGCAUGUCUCUUAUGUGCCCUAUAGUCAGCGAUCUCCUCGGGACUAGUAGUAGACUCAUCAAGAUCCUUUAGCUAAUUGUUAAAGACAUAUUCCUUGUCCUCAUACCGAGUGACCAUCCUAAUGUUUUUGAUCCAAUCAUUGAAGUUGGAUCCAUCCAAGAUGACUCUCCCACAAAGGUUCAUGAGAGAGAAGGAGCCUGUAGGGUUUAAGCUAGAAGCAACAUUGUUGGAAGACAUCUAAAAAGAAAGAAUGAUAAGUUUAGAUUAGAUAUAAAGAUAGUCCUUAAUAAGAUACCCAAAUGUAAUAUUUAGGCUAGGACCCAACACAAUAUUUAUAACUUAGAAGAGGGAUGUUGUAAUCCAAGGUAUAAAAUAUUUGAAGGUAGGUGAAUGACGAUUCACCAAUUUCCACCAUGAAAAACGAAAUGUAUU
rnacentral:lncRNA from 1 species